rnacentral:rRNA from 1 species
AGUGAACGCUGGCGGUAGGCCUAACACAUGCAAGUCGAACGGCAGCACAGUAAGAGCUUGCUCUUACGGGUGGCGAGUGGCGGACGGGUGAGGAAUACAUCGGAAUCUACUUUUUCGUGGGGGAAAACGUAGGGAAACUUACGCUAAUACCGCAUACGACCUACGGGUGAAAGCAGGGGACCUUCGGACCUUGCGCGAUUGAAUGAGCCGAUGUCGGAUUAGCUAGUUGGCGGGGUAAAGGCCCACCAAGGCGACGAUCCGUAGCUGGUCUGAGAGGAUGAUCAGCCACACUGGAACUGAGACACGGUCCAGACUCCUACGGGAGGCAGCAGUGGGGAAUAUUGGACAAUGGGCGCAAGCCUGAUCCAGCCAUACCGCGUGGGUGAAGAAGGCCUUCGGGUUGUAAAGCCCUUUUGUUGGGAAAGAAAAGCAGCAGGUUAAUACCCCGCUGUUCUGACGGUACCCAAAGAAUAAGCACCGGCUAACUUCGUG